rnacentral:tRNA from 1 species
GGCACCCUGGCGUAACUGGUUAACGCGUUGACGUACAUACCGGAAGGUCGCUGGUUCGAACCCAGCCGGUGUGG